GGGGGCCAGGACAGUUCUUCACCGAGUUCUCUGCUCAGCGGAGAAGUCUCAGAACACAGUGUCCUCCGCCUUCAAAGUUCACUUCUGGCUCAGGAAACAGCCCUCCCUCCCGCUGUUGUGGUCAUCUCUGUCGACAGCGUUUGGUGUGUGUUUGUGGGGUGUGUCGGGUGAUUUCCCCGCCCGCGUCCCCCUGGGUGCUUCAGGUACUGGAGAUUGCUAACAGCAGAACAGUUGCUCCCCACGGCUGGACGACCGUCUGCGGAGACAAUACCACCGGAUGGCACGCUGCUAACCGUGACCACGUGGCGUCCUCAUGGGCCCAGGGUGUGCUCAGCCUGUCCUCUCUUCCUUCCUCUUCAUUCAAGCCCGGCUCGGGGUGAGCACUGUCUACCCUCAAGCUUCCAUCACCAUGCCCCCUCGUCAGUUCGCAGGACUCCAGGUUCUUUCCAGCACCCCUCCGCAAGAGCUCCUUCUCGAGGCCUGCCGUGAGCCUGGGUUCCUGGACACCGCUGGGAGCCCCGGAGCAGCAAGUGGGACCUGCCAGCCUUGAGAUGAGAAGCCUGAGGAGAAAGCUUUUGACCAAUGGUUGUUGAAUAUUGCCCUCAAAGGUGGCCGCCAGCAGUUCCGCUCAUCGCUGUAUCAAAUACUCCCUUCAAGACUUGGAGUCUGGGGGUGCCUAGCUGGCAGACUCAGUCAGUGAAGCAUGUGGUUCUUGAUCUCACAAGAGUCUGUUUCCCUCCCCCACCCCCUUGACUCUGAACUGGCCUUGUGACUCGCUUAGGCCAAGAGAAUGUGACCAAAGUGAUGCUGUGUGGAUUUUGACCUAAGCCUGUCUUCACUUAAGAGACCUGGCCCCUGGGUCAGCUACUUUUGCAGAAUCCAGAGGAAAUGAAAACGUGGGCCUCUUUGUUGAAAAAGUUAAAAAAAAAAUCAUUAAAGAUACUAAAA